rnacentral:rRNA from 1 species
AUGAUGACUGCGGUGGAGACUUGUAAUGACAGGAGAGAAGUUUUGGUUGCAUUCAAGAAUGGCAGCACCAGUUUUUUUCCUGUGUGUCGAGUUGUGAGGACUUGCAGCGGUGGUCUUGGCAGAAGGGGGCGGCAACACAGGUGGACAACAUUUUUGGGGGUGCUUCUCAAGUACCGAGCCGCGAUCUCCAGGGUGAAAGCCCAAGGUAUGGCCUUCAUUGGUUGUACCUGGCAAUGGUCUUGCGAAGACAUUGUUUUUGGGAUCUCGGACUCUCUCCAGGGUGAAAACUCAAGAUCCUUGAUCGAGCGACGACAACGCUUGCGCAUUGUUCCCUUCUUGAAGGCGUCGCUUUCGGAGAACCUCUUCUGUAGUCCGGGUGUUCUUUGGUGGUGGUUAGAGCAUCUCCAAUAG